rnacentral:tRNA from 1 species
CAGGAAUUAGUUUAUAAAAAUACCGGUUUUGGGGACCGAUGAUAGGAAGAUUUCCUAUUCCUGA